UAUAUUUCUCUAUCUCUCUAUCUCUCUAUCCCAUCCCCGUCCCCGUCUCCAUCUCCACCUCGCUGUCUCUGCCUCUGCGUUGUCAAACAAAAAAAAAAGCGGUGGACACCUUCCCGAUCGGCGCAGUUAGGGCUCGCCCCCUUGCCGCAUCCGGUUAGCUAGCCGAGGCCGGCACAUGACGUCAUUUCUAGUAUUCGCAGUCAACCCGAGUUCGCAAGCAAAAGUCGACUUUGAUCUUUGGUGGUGGUAGUAGGAGUAGGAGUGGGAGUAGUAUUAGUAUUAGUACUACUCGUUGCUAUCGGCUGUGGCGAGCGUCGGCGGGAUCUUGGAAGCAGUCGUCGAUAUGACAUCAAUCUUGUCGUCGUCAAGCCACGACUAGUGCUAGUAGUUCAAGGCAUGGGACCCUUUCCCCCCCGUUCUUCACAAAAUGGUGUCUUGGCUUGGUUGGUCGUGUUUAACGAGUCUAUGGAUAAGUAAAUGCGAUGUAUGUAUGUAGUUGAAUGAAGAAUUCAUCUUCCCUGGAGUUAAUAUAGAGUGAGCGGCCCAACAUGGUCCUCCUGAAAUCUCCUUGAAUUUCCAAUCACCGGCAAAGAAAGAUACUAGUAGCUGGGAGAAGGGAAAAAAGAGCAUAGAUCAGGGAUUUGGCUAACUAUGUCGGAGCCGAGGGGACGAAAUUGAAUGCUCAAGAUACUCUAAGUUGACCAUCGCACGAAGCAAAAAAAGAGGCCCUGGCACAAGUCUGGUCUAGACUCCGCCCCGGAUUCUUCAAAAUGAUGUCUGCGUGCACUUCCAGCAUUUGUUUUAUGUUAAAUUAGUUAUUUGCUUUUCGCAGGCUGGCUCUGGAUUAGACAGGGGGGAAGGUUGACUUGCGGCG
rnacentral:sRNA from 2 species